GGGAGCACCGAGCACGGGGACACCGCGAGCACCGGGCACCGAGGGCACCCGGGCACGGCGGUCCCGGGGACGCCGGGAAUGGGGGAGCCGGGAGCACCCCUGGGCAAGUCUCUGACUAUGAUCCUGCCUGGAUAACGCCUUGCCUCCGCUCAGAUGGCUUCUGUGUGGGGAAGAAAAGAGCCGUGUCCCUAGUCACAAAACCUCCCCGCUCCUGAGGAAACACUGUCCCUUUUGUGCCCAGCACACAAUCCAGCAAACCUUGCGCUGCUGAAAGAGGUUGAACUUCUGAAUAUUCCCACUGAAAGCUCCUUUCUGCGGGAAGCCAGCCGCCCACCGGGACAACAAAUGGGCACAUUGUGGGAUCCUCACGGCUGCUGGCCACUGCGGAUGCAACACUUGCCACUGCACUGCUCUGUCACCGCUGCCAAAGUAAUUUUGUUCCCCUGAACCAAGCCCGGGGAGUUUUGUGUUUGGUUUUUUUUUUUUCCCCUCCUUGCAGCCUCAGUGCUGAUGAAUACAUGCUGGAAUUUGGCUUUCUGCA